rnacentral:tRNA from 1 species
GAAGGUCUUAGCUUAAUUAAUGGGUCUGAGGUGCAUUCAGGAGAUGUAGUGUGAUUACAGGUCUUC